GGAAGUGCGCCGCAGCGCGGCAUUCUGGGGCCGGAAGUAGGGCGCAUGCUGUGGACUGGUGUCAUGGCAGCUCCCCGGAGCCGCAAGAGGCGCCUGGCGGAGCUGACGGUGGACGAGUUCCUAGCUUCGGGCUUUGACUCCGAGUCCGAAUCCGAGUCCGAAAACUCCCCGGAAGCGGACACGCGGGAGGCACGCGAGGCUGCCCGGAGUCCGGAUGAGCCGGGCGGGAGCCCCUCGGCCAGCCGGCGUAAAGGCCGUGCCUCUGAGCACAAGGACCAGCUGUCUCGGCUGAAGGACAGAGACCCCGAGUUCUACAAGUUCCUGCAGGAGAAUGACCAGAGCCUGCUAAACUUCAGUGACUCAGACAGCUCUGAGGAGGAGGAGGAGCCGUUCCACUCCCUGCCAGAUGUGCUGGAGGAAGCCAGUGAGGAGGAGGAUGGAGCAGAGGAGGGGGAAGAUGGGGACAGAGUCCCCAGAGGGCUGAAGGGGAAGAAGAAUUGUGUUCCUGUGACCCUCGCCAUGGUUGACAGAUGGAAGCAGGCAGCAAAGCAACGCCUCACGCCAAAGCUGUUCCAUGAAGUGGUACAGGCGUUCCGAGCAGCUGUGGCCACCACCCAAGGGGACCGGGAAAGUGCUGAGGCCAACAAAUUCCAGGUCACGGACAGUGCUGUGUUCAAUGCUCUGGUCACCUUCUGCAUCAGAGACCUUAUUGGCUGUCUCCAGAAGCUGCUGUUUGGAAAGGCGGCAAAGGACAGCAGCAGGAUGCUGCAGCCGUCCAGCAGCCCGCUCUGGGGGAAGCUCCGUGUGGACUUCAAGGCGUACCUGGGCUCGGUCAUACAGCUGGUGUCCUGUCUAGCGGAGAUGACGGUGUUGGCGGCCGUGCUGCAGCACAUCAGUGUGCUGGUGCCCUGCUUCCUGACCUUCCCCAAGCAGUGCCGCAUGCUGCUCAAGAGAAUGGUGGUCGUAUGGAGCACUGGGGAGGAGUCCCUGCGGGUGCUGGCUUUCCUGGUCCUCAGUAGAGUCUGCCGGCACAAGAAGGCCACUUUCCUCGGCCCCGUCCUCAAGCAAAUGUACAUCACGUACGUGAGGAACUGCAAGUUCACCUCGCCUGGUGCCCUCCCCUUCAUCAGUUUCAUGCAGCGGACCCUGACAGAGCUGCUGGCCCUGGAGCCGGGUGUGGCCUACCAGCACGCCUUCCUCUACGUCCGCCAGCUCGCCAUACACCUGCGCAACGCCAUGACCACCCGUAAGAAGGAAACGUACCAAUCUGUGUACAACUGGCAGUACGUGCACUGCCUCUACCUAUGGUGCCGGGUCCUGAGCACUCUGGGCCCCAGCGAAGCUCUCCAGCCCUUGGUCUACCCCCUUGCCCAGGUCAUCAUUGGCUGUAUCAAGCUCAUCCCCACUGCCCGCUUCUACCCACUGCGAAUGCACUGCAUCCGUGCCCUGACGCUGCUAUCAGGGAGCUCGGGGGCCUUCAUCCCAGUGCUGCCUUUCAUCCUGGAGAUGUUCCAGCAGGUCGACUUCAACAAGAAGCCGGGGCGCAUGAGCUCCAAGCCCAUCAACUUCUCUGUGAUCCUGAAGCUGUCCAAUGUCAACCUGCAGGAGAAGGCCUACCGGGACGGCCUGGUGGAGCAGCUGUAUGACCUCACCCUGGAGUACCUGCACAGUCAGGCACACUGCAUCGGCUUCCCGGAGCUGGCGCUGCCUGUGGUCCUGCAGCUGAAGUCCUUCCUCCGGGAGUGCAAGGUGGCCAACUACUGCCGGCAGGUGCAGCAGCUGCUUGGGAAGGUUCAGGAGAACUCGGAGCACAUCUGCAGCCGCCGCCAGAGGGUUUCCUUUGGCGUGUCUGACCAGCAGGCAGUGGAAGCCUGGGAGAAGCUGACCCGGGAAGAGGGGACCCCCCUGACCUGGUACUACAGCCACUGGCGCAAGCUGCGUGACCGGGAGAUCCAGCUGGAGAUCAGUGGCAAAGAGCGGAUGGAAGACCUGAACUUCCCUGAGAUCAAACGAAGGAAGGUGGCUGACAGGAAGGAUGAGGACAGGAAGGAAUUUAAAGAUCUCUUUGACCUGAACAGCUCUGAAGAGGACGACACCGAGGGCUUCUCAGGAGAGAGGGAUACUGGGGCCCCUGAGCACUCCGCAUGGGGUGGAAGAGGAUGAGGACGACGAGAGGCUGGGGCCCCUGAGCACUCAGCAUGGAGCGGAAGAGGAUGAGGAUGCCUCUGAGGGUGAAUGGUCUUGGGAUGGAGACCCAGACGCAGAGGUGGGGCUGGCCCCUGGGGAGCUGCAGCAGCUGGCCCAGGGGCCGGAGGACGAGCUGGAGGCUCUGCAGCUCUCAGAAGAGGACUAAGGCAGCCCAUCUGGGGGCCUGUGGGGGUUGCCGUGCUGGUGGCCAAUGUUCCCACCUCUCUGGCAGUCAGGCCCAGAGGCUGGCGUCUCUGCAGCUGGGGGAGGCAGUAGACAGGGUACAGGCUCUAUUUAUUUUUCAGCAUGGAAGACCAAACGUACUGAGAGCUGCGCUGGGCUGGCGUGGCUGCUGAAGCCCCACAGCUCUGGACUGAAGUCAGCUCCGCAGGGGAGAUGACCCUGCUGUCAGGAGACUAGACCAAUCCUGGUUCCAGGGGGAGGCCUGCAGACCCCUGGCCCCUUCCACCCCUUCCACCACCUCUGCCCUCCAUCUGCACACCUCGUCCGCACCAGGCUCUACAGUUACUCCCCCAAGUCUUUGGAAAUUGCUUCCUUUUCUUUGAAGUCACAUUUUCCUUCAAAAUUUUUUGUUUUGCAUCCAAAACCAAAAGAAAUAAAGCUGUGGGAGGCAGGGCCAUUG